rnacentral:tRNA from 1 species
UGCCCCAUGGCUGAGUUGGUUACAGCGUCCGACUGUUAUACAUUAUGACAUCGGAAGGUCGUGAGUUCGAGCCUCACUGGGGCAG